rnacentral:tRNA from 1 species
UAGCUCAGUUGGUAGAGUGCUUGCUUCAUAUGCACAAGGCCCUGGGUUCAAUCCCCAG